UACGAAGGGGACUAGCGUUGUUCGGAAUCACUGGGCGUAAAGGGCGCGUAGGCGGCUUUAUAAGUCGGGGGUGAAAGCCUGUGGCUCAACCACAGAAUUGCCUUCGAUACUGUAGAGCUUGAGACCGGAAGAGGUAAGUGGAACUGCGAGUGUAGAGGUGAAAUGCGUAGAUAUUGGGAGGAACACCAGUGGCGAAGGCGGCUACCUGGACCGGUUCUGACGCUGAGGCGCGAAAGCGUGGGUAGCAAACAGG
rnacentral:rRNA from 1 species